ACACUGCCGAAUGCCACCACGCGCGCGUUAUUUUCACCGACUACUGUGGUAGGGUUAGAGAACACGGAAAAAUUUACCAAGCUGAUGCCAAUAUCUCGUCAACCAGGAUUUUAUCACAAUAAUUUAGGAGCUUACGAUUCGACGUCGAUUCGAACCGCGUGUAGCAGCACCGUUCGUCUACGAAUUGAUAACUGACGUUCACUGAAAAACAUAAAGACGGAUACCCCUGCGCAAAUUUUUGUGAUCAGUUUUCGGCGGUAAGUGGGCCCUGGUGGGCCUGGGAGCGUGAGAGGGUUCUGCUCGAUCCACUCUACCUAACGAGCUCGCACAAUCAUUCGUAGCAGCAAAAAUAGUGUCGGUAUGAAAGCUUGAGAUGAGCGGGUAGAGAGUCAGUACGUAUGACUACUUGUCAACUGCGACUUCGAAAUGUGGAUCAGCUCGAUCAUCCCCGUGAGAAGAGCGUACCCGCGUCCACCGCCAACAACCCCUAACUACCUCUGAGCACCUCGAACCACCUCCGACCACCUUCGUCCUCCUCGGCCACCUCGUCCCCCUCCUCAUCUUCCCCCUUGUCGUCCGCGUCCUCAUCAACCACCUCUGAUCACCACCAACCACCUCAAAACACCUACCGCCUCCAAACAUUUGAUAGCAAUUUACUCGGGGUAUAACCCGAGGUGGUUGGCGGUGGUGGUUGGCGGUGGUUGGAGGUGGUCGGAGAUGGACGAGGAGAAGGACGAGGAAGACUAGGAGAACAAGGUGGACAAGGAAGACAAGGAUUUGUGCUCGGAAAGUCCGUCAAUGGAACGGUCUGCUGGCUCCGAAGGAUCUCUACUGGAUGUGGAUGAAACUUUGGAAAGAAGUAAGGAGGUUCUAGGAUCACCAUUCUACGAAGAAAAACUGCGUCAGCUGUCAACUGGCCAAUUAACAGAGCUUCUCGGUGAAAUGGAAUCCUUGGUCGGAGCGCUCAGCGAAACUUUAAUAGCUGCG